rnacentral:rRNA from 1 species
AUUGAACGCUGGCGGCAGGCCUAACACAUGCAAGUCGAGCGGAUGAGGAGAGCUUGCUCUCUGAUUUAGCGGCGGACGGGUGAGUAAUGCCUAGGAAUCUGCCUGAUAGUGGGGGAUAACGUUCCGAAAGGAACGCUAAUACCGCAUACGUCCUACGGGAGAAAGCAGGGGACCUUCGGGCCUUGCGCUAUCAGAUGAGCCUAGGGCGGAUUAGCUAGUUGUUGAGGUAAUGGCUCACCAAGGCUACGAUCCGUAACUGGUCUGAGAGGAUGAUCAGUCGCCAUGGAAAUGAGACACGGUCAAGAAUCCGACGGGAGGCAGCAGUGGGGAAUAUUGGACAAUGGGCGAAAGCCUGAUCCAGCCAUGCCGCGUGUGUGAAGAAGGUCUUCGGAUUGUAAAGCACUUUAAGUUGGGAGGAAGGGCAGUAAGUUAAUACCUUGCUGUUUUGACGUUACCGACAGAAUAAGCACCGGCUAACUUCGUGCCAGCCGCCGCGGUAACAC